rnacentral:rRNA from 1 species
UACGAAGGGGGGCUAGCGUUGCUCGGAAUCACUGGGCGUAAAGGGUGCGUAGGCGGGUCUUUAAGUCAGGGGUGAAAUCCUGGAGCUCAACUCCAGAACUGCCUUUGAUACUGAGGAUCUUGAGUUCGGGAGAGGUGAGUGGAACUGCGAGUGUAGAGGUGAAAUUCGUAGAUAUUCGCAAGAACACCAGUGGCGAAGGCGGCUCACUGGCCCGAUACUGACGCUGAGGCACGAA